rnacentral:lncRNA from 1 species
AGCAAGUAUUUGAGAAGACCAAAGCGAAGUUCUCCCUUUAUUGAGAGAAGAAGAAAAACUACUGCUAUCUGAUCUCAUUACUGAUCCUGAUGUUAAUAAACUAAUUAAUGCUUUUUUUCUGAAUAAUACACAAUAUUUCUAAGACACAUUUUCCGAAAUUGUAUCUAUCUGUUGAACUUAACAUGGGGAUAUCAGUUAAAUAUACGCAUGAUUCUUCUUUGAUUAUCAAUAAACAGAAGUUUUAGACAAAUAUUGUUCCUGCAAACCAUACAAGUAUCAUUGCACUGCCUUUUUUAUAUACAAAAACAAUAACGUAGAACAUCCGAGAUGGCUUCUUUAACAUCAAAUCAAGACUUGUGUUAAUUAAUACUUAAUGAUUAACUAGAAUAUAGUCACUUCAUUAAACUACGUUAAUCAGUGAAAUCCUGGUGCAAAUUUUUCCUUUUUUAUCCAUAUCGUUUAUCUUGUAUUAGCAUUUAACUAAUUGACGACUUCGCCAUUCCGGUCAUUCUACCCGGAACGGUAAAGAAGCCAUCUGCUGCUUUUGAUGAGUCUCGCAAGCUGUUUCAGAGGCUUUGGACUGAUGAGGAUGAAAUUGAGUUGUUGCGAGGAUUUCUGGAGUACACCAUCCAGCGUGGCCUGAACACUUCUUCCCAGCAGCACCAUUACGAUACGACCGCAUUUUACAAGCAGAUCAAGUCCAAAUUCCAGCUGGAUUUCAACAAAAAUCAGCUUGUGGAAGUCAAUGCCUUGACACCAAAGAAGAGUUCGACCCAACACUUUAUUUCUAUCCUAGUUGAUCCUGAUUCGACAUUAGAAGUAUGUUGGUUUUUUCCCCAAUAACCGAAUACUUUUAUCUGUAAAUACUACAUAUUUGAUUCCAUCCAUAAAUCUAUUUUCUCCCCCUAUGAGUUAUAGUCCCAAUAAGAAUGCUAGUUCUUACCGUUCAUAUAUUAUGAUAUGACUAUACCACAUCAAUUCAUUAUGCAGUACCUAACGUUUCUCAAGAAAACUGAAGCGUUGGCUACACACAGUAGCGGAUCCAAAAUUUACAAUGUUAGACUAUGAAGCAAUAGAUUCUGCUGAAUCUGCAAACACAGAGUUGAAUCAGCCACAAGCUACAGCAGAGACAUAAAGUUUGCUGCACUUUUAGCAAUCGUUAAAAAGAAAAAGAGUAACUCAACUUUUUCUUGAAAAUGAACCUGGGAAAAGGCAGACAGUUGAAAAUGCAGAGCAGCAAGCAUUUAAAUCAGAGACAUCAAGAAUGACACUAACCCAACAUUUUGGUCUUUCUAUCAUUUCCAUUUCUAUUUACAAAAUAGACGAAACAUCUAUAUUGCAUCAAAGUCUGCAAACAAGCAGCUGACUGAAAACUAAUUAGAAGUCAUUAUUUAGCAACCAAAAGCUAAACCAUCCACCUAAACCAUCCACUGUCAUUAACAACCUGGGGUAAAAUUAUCAACUAGAAUUAUUUCAAUAAGUUGUAUACAUUAGAAAAGCAACAUUUUCAAUUGUUACUUCCCAUUGAUCUCAGCUCCUCCAAUUGUGCUUUCACCUGAUCCUGAACCAAUUCCAACCUCUUCGAAUAAACCUCCAGCUCCAGCAUUUGCUGCUUCCUCCAUUUCUCAUCCCCCAUCAUUUCCAUGCUCAUUGCACCUCCCCCAAACCCCAGUCCCAGUCCCAGCCCCUGCCCCAGCCCCAGUGGGAUUGGACUCAUCCCCAUUCCUCCAAAGCCAAACCCAAACCCUCUAGCAGACCCAUUCAAAUUGGCCACAUUGUUCACCAGCUCCUUGAAAAUUGGUGAUACACAGUUCCUCACUGUUUCCUCAAUCAGGUUCGGCACAGAAGCAGCCACCGUGGUGGGAGCUGAUGCAGCAACUCCAGCCACCGGUGGUGCAGCAACUCCAGACACCUGUGGUGCAGCAACUCCAGACACUGGUGGUGCAGCAGGGGCAGCUGCCACCGGGUUGGAGUUUGUGGCCGGCAUUUGCACAUUAAUGCGGACCCCAGGUGGCUGAUAAGGCUGAUGCUCAACUUUAACAGCUUCUAAAGGUACUGGGGACCUUUUCUGUGAUCUUGGAGUUUUGAUGGCAAUUCCAUUAGGGUUAGAGUUAAGAUUAAACUUAGGGCUAUGAUAAAGGACAAUUGAAUCAGGAUUAGGGUUAGGGUUAACAUCCUCAUCAUCCUCCAAUCCCAAUCCAACACCACCAUCUUCUAGCGGUGGGGCGGAGAAACCAACAGAGCCUCCAGGGCUGCUGCGGGCAUAAGAGCCUCCAGUACUCCAGAUCCUGUGAGAGAUGUCGAAAGUUACCUGAUCAUGAGCACUUUUGAAAACAAAGUCCUUGCCAGAUCCCAUCUUGCUCACCACAGUCCUGUACUUUUUCUUCAGUCGGCGGAGUUUCUCCACAAGCUGGUUUUUGUUGAAAUCCAGCUGGAAUUUCGACUUGAUCUGCUCGUAAAAUGCGGUGGUAUCGUAAUGGUGCUGCGGGGAAGAAGUGUUCAGGCCACGCUGGGUGGUGUACUCCAGAAAUCCCCGCAACAACUCAAUUUCAUCCUCAUCCGUCCAAAGCCUCUGAAAAAGCUUGCGAGACUCAUCAAAAGCAGCAGAUGGCUUCUUUACCGCUCCGGGAAGAAUGACCGGAAUGGCGAAGUCGUCAAUCCUAGGGCGUUUUCCCGGAUUCAUCAUUCCAGCUCCGGAAUCUCCUGUGGACACGCCGGCGACCGCUAUGGUCACCUCACCGGCGAUGGAGGGGGAAGAGGUAGAAUCCUCAUCACCUUCCAGCUCCAUAUCAACCUCAUAAUCGAGGUUGUCGUAGGAUGCCUGGUGAUGACGAUUUGGUACAGAAUCCAUGGUGGAAAGAACAAUGUUUUUUUCUUUUUUUUUCUGAUGAAAGAGGAGGAGAUUUUAGGGGGUGUGGGCUCUAGGGUUCAGUGGGCUAAGGUAAAAGUAGUAAACAGAGUGCGGCGCAAGAGGUUAGGCCAAGAGUAAAGACAGACGGUCACAAACUAUUGGUUAAUAAUUUUAAGUUAGUUUCGUGCAAGACUUAAUUUGGUACUUUGGUUGAAUGAUUCACUAGAUCGGCGCGUUGUAGCCGGUAGCAUUUACUGGGUUCCCUGGUAAGCCGGUACCCGGUGAGCAUCGUCUCCUCUCACCUACUUCACUUUUCACUCAUAAUUAAAAGGCUAUGUUGACUAAGUUUAAGAAAAUUAAAUAUUUUAUAAACAAAAGGAUUAAUUGAGAUAAAUAGAAGUUAAUUAAUAUGUGAUGAAAUCGUAGACUGCUCCUAAUAAAUAUUGACUAAUAAAUAUUAGUUAAUUUUAAUUUAAAAUUUAAUUACUUGGAAAAGAAAAGAUUUAAAUAUGUAAUUGAGUUUUGAGAAAAGACUUAUUUAUGCUUUUUUGUUAAAAGUUUGGCUUAUCUAUAACUUUUAACGGAUGAAAUCAUCUAUUCUAGGACCCUUGCCAUGAUUCAUCAUUGGAGCGGCAGAAUCUUUGGUGGAGACACCGGCAACCGCUAUGGUCACCUCACCUACAAUGGAGGGAGAAGAGUUAGAGUCGUCAUCACCCUCCACAUCCAUGUCUACAUCAUAAUCGAGAUUGUCAUCGUUGUGGAUGGUGAUGAGGAUUCUACUUCUUCUCCAUCCUACAACGAUGACAACCUCGAUUAUGAGGUUGACAUGGAUGUGAAAGGUGAUGAAGACUUAACUCUUCUCCCUCCAUUGCCGGUGAGGUAACCAUAUUAGUUGCCGGUGUCUCCGUUGGAGAUUCUACCACUCCAAUGACGAAUCAUGGCAAGAGUCACAUAAUUGAUGAUUUUGUCAUUCCAUCACUUAAAAGUUUGACUCAUUUAUGUCAUUUCAGUUAACAAAUAAUGACACGAAUGAACCUUUUUUUCAAACGAAAAUGACGUAGAUGAGCCAAACUUUUAACAAAGGGCAUAAAUAAAUCUUUUCUCAAAGUUCGAUGACAUAAUUUAAACCUUUUCCAAGUAAUCAAAUUUUAAAUUAAAAUUAACUAAUAUUUAUUAGUCAAUAUUUACUAGGAACAAAGUCUAUGAUUUCAUCACAUAUUAACUUCUAUCCUAUCUCAAAUAGACCUUCUUGUUUAAUAAAAUAUUUAAUUUUCUUAAACUUAGUCAAACAUAGCCUUGUAAUUGAUGAUUUUGCUAUUCUAUCCGUUAAAAAUUUGGUCUAUCUAUAUCAUUUCAACUAACAAAUAAUGGCAUAGAUGAGCCUUUUUCUCAAACAAAAUGACAUCUAUGAGCCAAAUUUUUAACGGAUGAUAUAAAUAAGUUUUUUCCUCAAAAUUUGAUAGCAUAUUCGAGCCUUUGUAAAUGUUUCAAUUGAAUACCUAAAAGAAGAUGCUUAUAGAGACAUUAAACAAACUUUUAUUAUAUUGUUAAAAAACUUUUUGCUAAACUAAAGUAAAAUAAUGUGACAUGGCAUCCCAUUAAAAGAGAGGAAUAUAUUUUGAGAAAAAUAAAAAUAAUUGGACGAUAUUGUGAUCUUAAAAGAAACAAAAAUAAUAUUAUAAGGCAUAUCUCAAACAUGAGUAACUAAGUGGGAUAUACGAAAAUCUUAUUACUAUUUUUAUAAUGUUAUUUUGUGAUAGAUGGUCGGUUCGUUCUUUUUUUAAAAAAAAAAACCUUAUAAACUAAUAACAAGUAAAAUUUUAUAUAAAAUAAGAAGUAAAAUUGUACAAUAAUAACAUGGUAAAAUGAUAAAUAGGAUAAUUGUAAAUGUUAAACUGAACUGCGUAUAUUGAAAGAUUAGAUGGUGUUAGGUGUAUGCACGUGUCGAACACAAAUUUAGAAGCCUAUGUCCAACAUGGUUAAAAAAACUCAAUUAUUCAAAUUAAUAGAGCAGGGUGCAUGCUACCUUUAAAGUAGGUUUUGGAGGAGAACAAAUUGAAAAGUAUAGCACUUACUACGAGGGUUAUGGCGGAGCGUUUAUUCCUCAGAUAUGAAGUUACCUUUGUUAGAAAGCAUUCUUAUCCAUUAAUGUGGGACUUUGCAUCUCGAACUCCAAUGUAGAUAUCGAACACACUGGGUGAAAAACAAAAAAAAAUAUAAUAUUUGUCUAAAGCUUAUAAUAUAAUACGAUUUAAUGGUCAACAAAUGUACAUCGAGAAUAUAGACUAAAAUAGUAAAAAAAAAAAGGUCAUAUUAAGUUGAAUCAAUACUCACAUUUCUAACAAUUUGUGGUAGAUUUCUUUUAACAUAUAUGCUAACUUUAUUCGUUAAUAUUGUAAUAUGGAUCAUCGACUUCAAUAAUACUACUUCUGUAGUAAGGAUGUAAAAUUGAUUUUUUUUUAUGAGAGAGAUAUAUUAUUAAAGCUUACUUGAGUUCUUUCUCUUAUUCUUUUUAAAUGUAUUUAUUUGCUAAUAUCUAAUAUUUUUACUUAUCAAAAUAUCCACUAAUGUAAAAUUAAAUACAAUUUUUUUCACAAGUCACAAACAACAGCUAAUUCCAGUCCGUAUUCGAAAACUAGCAGUGCAAUUUGUCAGUCCUUCCAUGACCCAAGUCAGGUAGCUUUCUACCUAUAAUAGAGUGCUCUCAAAUUCAAAUCAUCAAUUAACUAUCAAUUAAUUAUUCAAAAAUUCUUAUAGCAUAUCAUAAAAAAAAAAUCAUAACAAACUUGUUUAUCAAAAAGCAAUAUAACACAAUUUUUAGAGAGAUUAUAGAGAAUAAAAUUAAGGAGAAGGGGUUCAAAAAUUUCUUUAAAUUGAUUUUAUUAUAAAAAUUGCUGACGUAUCCAAUAAAAACAUCACCCUUGAUAUUUAUCACAAAAGAGAUAUCUUGUAUCUCAUUUUCUCUCAUGUUAUUUAUAUAUUUUUUAUAUUACAAAAGAUAAUUUUGGAAAGAAGAAAAAAAAUUCAAUUGCAAAUUCAUCAUUUUUAAUAAAUAUUAAGAUGCAUGUAUAUGAUAAAGAAAAAAUCAAGUAAACAGGAAAAUUAUAUAACAUUCAUUGAACACUCAUAAUUAUAAGAUAGUGUAAGAGAAAAGGAAAACUCACCAAAAAUAUGCAAAUAGCAUAUGUGAAAAUAAAAUUAUUGUGAAAUCUCAAGCUAGAAGCGAUGAAAUUGAUGACGACAAAGAAAUAAAGAUGAAUCUGCAAAAAAUUAAACCAAAUGUUAGAGAGAAAUCUACAGAUCAAAUCCUAAUAACGAUAAAGAAAAAGAGUAGGAGAACACGAGAGAAGAGAACCAAAGAAACAUAUAAUAUAACGGAUGGGGAGAACUAAUUAAUAUUUUAAUGACGAUGAUAUGUAAACUCUCCAGAAGUUACAUAUGACAGUUAGACUAAAUUGAAAUUACAUAUAUAACUCUCGUCGUUUUUAGAAAAUAAAAAAAGAAGAGAAACUCAUCAAGAAUAAACAGGUAACAGACGCGAAAGCAAAAUUAUUAUGAAACAUUAAGUUAGAAGGGAUAAAUUGACAAUGACAAAGAAAUAAAGAUAAAUCUGCAAAGAAUUAAGUCAAAUAUAAGAGAGAAAUUUACAGAUCAAUUCCAAAAGAACAAUAAAGAGAAAGAGAGCACAAGAAAUGAGAAACAAAGAAACAUAAAAUGUAACAGGUGAGGACAAUUGAUAUUUUGAUGAUAAUGAUGCCUAAAUUCUAUGAAAGUAAUAUAAGAUAACUUAAGUCAGUUGAAAUUACUAAUAUAACCUUCAUCGUCUUUACGAUCCACACUUAUAUCGUUAAAGAACACAAUUGAACACUUAUAACGAUAAAUACUGCAAGAAAAAAAGAGUUUAGGAAAACUCACCAAACUACAUAACUAACAAAUGCAAAAAUAAAAUUAUUGUGAAAGCUUAGUCUAAAAAAUAUGAAAUUAAAGAUCACAAAGAAAUAAAGAUGAAUCUGCAAAAAAAACUAAACUAAAUGUUAGAGAGAAAUCUAAAAAUCAAACCCUAAAAAAAGAUAGAGAGAAGAACACGAGAGAAGAGAAGCAAAUAAACAUCGACUAUAACAACUAAGGACAACUAAUAUUUUGAUGACGAUGACACUGAAACUCUCCAAAUGUAGCAUAAGAUAGCUAGAUCCAGUUGAAAUUAUAGAUAUAACCUUAAUUUUCCUUACGAACCACACUUAUAUCAUCAAAGAAUAUCAUUGAACACUUAUAACUGUAAAGAGUUCAAGAAAAGAAGAGAAGAGAAAAAACACAUCAAAACUACAUAAGUAACAGAUCUGAGAACAAAAUUAUAAUGAAACCGCAAGCUAGAUUUAUAAUGAAACCACAAGCUAGAUUUAUAAUGAAACUUCAAGCUAGAUGCGAUGAGAUUGAUGGUGAAAAGUAAAUAAAGAUGAAUCAACAAAGAAUUAUACCAAAUGUUAGAGAGAAAUCUAAAGAUCAAGCCCUUAAGAACGAUAGAAAGAAAGAGGGGCAGCGGAGAACACGAGAGAGGAAAAACGAAGAAACCUAG